AUAAAUUAGUUCCGAUGGCCAAACAGUUCAGUAAAAAAGCUUAACCUAAAAUUCUGAUUCAUAUUGUUUCACAAAAAGAAAAAAAAGAAAUAACCUCAAAAAGGUAAUUUCAUUCAACACAGGUGACAGGGAUGCAGGGGCAUCUCUGGUAAAUGUAUAAGAUGAACACUUGUUCUAGUAUUUUACAACAUGCAUAACAUGUUUAACCUUUAAGCUGCAUAAGUAUUAAAACAAAAUGCUGGACAGUUUGGUAAAUGUUUGCUCUCUUACAGCUACUCAAAUAACUAUUUGAAAUACAAAUGCAUGUUCAUGAGAUAAAACGCUUCUCCCAACAGACAGUCAUUUGUUCAUUCUUUUCCUUUAAUCCUGACAGUUUGCACCAAUCUGUUUUGUAAACAGUGUACUAAUGCACAGUAUGGUCCAAAAAUAAAGACAGCAACAAAAAAGAGAUGUUCAUUGAUGCAUUUCACUUGGUCAUGAUUCACAUCGUAAAAUACACAAAUUAUAGUAGUUCUACAUUGUUUUAUUUCAAUAAUCAUCCUCAUCCUUUACCACAUGGCCUGCAGAUUUAUGGUUUCUUUAAAUUGGAAAAUUGUUUGUGUUGAUCUGAAGGCAGCGAGUCACAUCCGCCCUACGGCCGCAUUAACUGCAGUGAGGCAGCAGUGUGAAGCCGAAGAGAAGAAGUAAGGGGUGUUGGCUAAGCAGGCUCUCUAGCCAAUAGUGUGAAAGCACUGGUUACCAUGGGAACACAUUAAUUAUUUAACAGUUUGGAUGAAGCCUCUGCCCUGCUGGUAGUCUUUGUGGCUUUAUUGUCCCCAGGGUCUUCAGCCAAGUGAUGCAAUGCCAGUAGGACAUGAUAUACAUUGACCGUGAUGCUGAGAGACAAGAGACAGACACACUGUCCCAACUGACAGAAGAGCAAGAUGAUAGAUUGAUAAAUGGGGAACGAUCAUGGACAGAUGGGUGAAUGGACCUGAGUGGGAGAAAGAAAGCAAGCUCUGUAGCGAGUGCGUUUUCGUCGCUCCUUGUGGUCAGCGGGGACUUGUGAUGAUUUCAUGCUGGGGACGCAGUCUGGACUUACUGUCAUUGUCUGUACAUGAGGUCUCUGUGUCUGCGUUCACUGUGAUCGGAUCACCAAGCUUGCGUUGUGACUGGAUCAGAGCCAUCGGUAAAUUCUUUCCGUCUGCCAUCUGUUACAGCUGCAUUAUUAAGAAAAACAUCUGUUUUGAAAGUUACAGAAAGUCAAGUUACUCCUCUUUCUUUUGGAAACGAUAAAAAUGAAAGAUUUACAUUGUGGCUAUUUUAAUCUGUGCUGUAAGUUUAGGUCUACAAAUAAUUUAAUUAUUGUGCAAAUUCUCAUCCAGUAAAAUGCAGGUAAUGCAUGUAAUUCCAUGCAUAAAUCAGACUGACAAGUAAUUUUUAGUCUUUAAAAGCUAAUUCAAGUAGGUUUAUUUGUUUCUCCAUCUAUUAUUAAUUUUUUAUUCAGAGUGUUGGCUGUUGCUAAAAAGAAUAAUAUUUCUUUAUAAACCAUUUAUUUUAUCUUAAUAUUUAUUCAGUUUGCAUUUUGAAUGCUGGAAGAUAAAUUGUGUAUAAAACAGGCGGUCAAUGCAGUGGUCUCACAUGAAGUCCAGGUCUACAUGUUAGGCUCUGUUUCACAUCUAUAAUUUUUUACAGCAAUAAUUUUGUUGUUGUCUGACCCACAUCCACCUGCAAUAGACUCCAGACACGCUCUUCAUCUGCUGCAUUGACUUCAGUCUGAAUGAGAAAAAUCCUGAUAGAUCAAGUCAACACAGCCUCAGCUGUCAGAAUAAUCUGGUCAGAUUUCCUAAAUCAGCUUUCUUCAUUUUUUUAAGCUAUAAUACCGUGAGGCGAGGCCAGGGAGGGAGGUAUAUUCCAGUCUAAUCCAAUGUACCUGUAUACGCUGUCGAACGUUUAAUCAAACUCAUGUAGUGUUUACUCAGGUUGAGAUUAUCUUGCAUUAUUCCGCUUUGUUUGCCUCUUGCAUGAGAAUUGGGUAGCGGGAUUAAGCAGGAAACCCAGGUUAGUGUAAUGCAUCUGCGUGUAGUUUUAGUGAUCCCGCUGGGCUGCACUGGUCCGCUGUGAUAGUUACAAUACACACUGCAGGCAUCAUACUACAAUAGUGUGUUUUGUCAUAUGUAGUCUCAGUAAUGGACUCAAUAGCUCAGUCUGUCAGUCAUCUGGGGACAACAGUGGCCAGUGUAUUUCCCUGUGUUGCCCUGAGGCAUUGUUUCAUGUCUUCUUGCCGUUUCAAUGUGGUUUCAUGGUGCUCAUUCAAAAUAUGAUGGCACAUAAUAGCGGCUGCACUCCCACAUUACAGAUGCUCUCACCAGUGAAAUCCUUUUGGGAUUUUAUGAAAUGUGUUAGGGGUCUAAGAUGAAGACUUUACUGGAAAUGUGCAUACACAAGCGCAGAUGUGAGCAUCUGUUUGUCCAUAUGCAGAUUGCAGUGGAAGCCUGGUUGUGCUGACUUGGGACAGCAGCAUCCACAGCUGUCCAGAGUCAUUUCACAACUCCACCAAAAACAGCAUGUCAAAACCCAUAGCCUACAGAGGCCUUAGACAUUGCUCAAGUAGGUAAAUCUUGCAGCAGAUUAUUAGUGUAACAUUUAUACAGAAAGUAAAAGGCAGGGUGCAUAGAACAACUGUAUUAUUUUGUUGUUUGAUGUGUAGAUUAUUUAAAUAUGCCAACAAUUAGUUGAUACGUUAGAGGAUUUGUGUUCAUUUUUAAUUGCAACUGGUGAGUUUGCUUUAUGAGAACUAACAAAAAUUAAGAUGUGUUUUGUUAAAGGGCACCUAUUAUGCAAAACUCACUUUUUUUCAUGUUUUUAAACUUACUUUUGGGUCACUACUGCUUAGAGAAGCAGUCCAAACACCAGAAAAAUGCACCCAGCCGUUGUUUUUUAGCUGUAAUUACAUGUAUUUUUAGGUAUCUAGAAACAUGGUAUUUCUCAAAGCACGUUAUUCUGACGUCACAAUAACAGUCACCUAGCAACCUAAACCAGAGUCCUGCUCCUCACAAGGCAACCGAGGUGAAGCUCCGCCCACUUCCUCAAGGGACGAUAGUUGUUCUGUUUUUACAGCAGCCACAGAGAACAGAGAUGCCUGGAUUAAUUUUAUUUUUAUCUUUGAUGACAAUGUUCUAACAAUAUUUCCAAAGAAAGCUGUAGUUUGUGAA